UACGAAGGGGGCUAGCGUUGCUCGGAAUCACUGGGCGUAAAGCGCACGUAGGCGGAUUCUUAAGUCAGGGGUGAAAUCCUGGAGCUCAACUCCAGAACUGCCUUUGAUACUGGGAGUCUCGAGUCCGGGAGAGGUGAGUGGAACUGCGAGUGUAGAGGUGAAAUUCGUAGAUAUUCGCAAGAACACCAGUGGCGAAGGCAGCUCGCUGGGACGUUACUGACGCUGAGACGCGAAAGCGUGGGGAGCAAACAGG
rnacentral:rRNA from 1 species